ensembl:lncRNA novel transcript
AGACAUUUCAGACCUCCUCUGGGAACCAAAUAUUCCAAUGGCCUUUCUGCCUUGUCACCAGGAGGGGAGUGGGUUGCUUGAAGCCCACCCUCCCUCAAGGCUCUCUUGCCUUUGGGACAUCUUGGGUGCCACUUGGGAGAAGGAGAAGCAGGAUGGAACUAUGAGGAGCCUGCUUCCAGCCAUGUGAAGAUGCCUGCUGCAGCCUCGCCUUCUGCCUUGAAUAAAAGCUCCCUCAGGCCUCCCCAGAAAAAGAUGCUGCCAUGCUUCCUGUACAGCCUGCAGAACAUGAGAAGGAAGCAUAUGAAUGUUCAGAGAAGAUAAAGUCUAUGUACGCCAUAAAGGAGACAAUGGAAAAGGGGCCUUGAAGUAAAGGUGGAAUUGGCCAGGCAAGAAGGAUAAAGAAGACUAUUAUAGCCCUGGAAAAUAGUAUAAACAAAGACAGUCAGUUCUGCUCUAAGUCUUGUUUUGAAAACAUGAAUUUGUUCCAACCCAAUUCAUAUAUUAGGGAGCAAUCUAAGUGUAAUACAGAUUUUGCAUUUGCUGGUGCAUGGUUUUUCCCUGAGAAACACCAGAUGAAUGGAGAAAACUCUACUGAGCUGAACCAAACAGGGCAGAAGUACACAAAAUGUACACAAGGACACCUCUCAAAUUCCUACCACCUGAGUUUACAGGGUGUGUUAGAAACCCUCUUUCCACCACUUCAUAGGAACUCAUAAGCUGCACCCCUUCCAACGACCAGCUCCAUAUACAAAAUUAAUGUCUGUUUCAGGAUACUC